AUUGAACGCUGGCGGCAGGCUUAACACAUGCAAGUCGAGCGGAGAUGAGGUGCUUGCACCUUAUCUUAGCGGCGGACGGGUGAGUAAUGCUUAGGAAUCUGCCUAUUAGUGGGGGACAACAUUCCGAAAGGAAUGCUAAUACCGCAUACGUCCUACGGGAGAAAGCAGGGGAUCUUCGGACCUUGCGCUAAUAGAUGAGCCUAAGUCGGAUUAGCUAGUUGGUGGGGUAAAGGCCUACCAAGGCGACGAUCUGUAGCGGGUCUGAGAGGAUGAUCCGCCACACUGGGACGGAGAACCGGCCCAGACUCCUACGGGAGGCAGCAGUGGGGAAUAUUGGACAAUGGGGGGAACCCUGAUCUAGCCAUGCCGCGUGUGUGAAGAAGGCCUUAUGGUUGUAAAGCACUUUAAGCGAGGAGGAGGCUCUUUUGGUUAAUACCCAAGAUGAGUGGACGUUACUCGCAGAAUAAGCACCGGCUAACUCUGUGCCAGCCGCCGCCGUAA
rnacentral:rRNA from 1 species